GAGUUUGAUCAUGGCUCAGGAUGAACGCUGGCGGCGUGCCUAACACAUGCAAGUCGAACGCCCGCAAGGGAGUGGCGCACGGGUGAGUAACACGUAGCUGACCUGCCGUCGAGUGCCGGAUAACGGCCCGAAAGGGACGCUAAUACGGCGUAAGCUCACGGGGAUUAAAGACCCGCGAGAAAAGAUUAAUCGCUCGACGAGGGGGCUGCGGCCCAUCAGGUAGUUGGGAGGGUAAUGGCCUCCCAAGCCAACGACGGGUAGGGGGUCUGAGAGGAUGAUCCCCCACACUGGGACUGAGACACGGCCCAGACUCCUACGGGAGACAGCAGUGGGGAAUCUUGCGCAAUGGGCGAAAGCCUGACGCAGCGACGCCGCGUGCGGGAAGAAGGCCUUCGGGUUGUAAACCGCUUUCAGGAGGGACGAAGCCACUCGGGUUAAUAGCCCAGAGGGUGACGGUACCUCCAGAAGAAGCCCCGGCUAACUACGUGCCAGCAGCCGCGGUAAUACGUAGGGGGCAAGCGUUGUCCGGAUUUAUUGGGCGUAAAGAGCGUGUAGGCGGCCAGGCAGGUCCGUUGUGAAAACUGGAGGCUUAACCUCCAGACGUCGAUGGAAACCGUCUGGCUAGAGUCCGGAAGAGGAGAGUGGAAUUCCUGGUGUAGCGGUGAAAUGCGCAGAUAUCAGAAGAACACCCGUGGCUAAAGCGGCUCUCUAGUACGGUACUGACGCUGAGACGCGAAAGCGUGGGGAGCGAACAGGAUUAGAUACCCUGGUAGUCCACGCCGUAAACGAUGGGUGCUAGUGUGGGGGGUGUCGACUCCCUCCGUGCCGAAGCUAACGCAUUAAGCACCCCCGCCUGGGGGAGUACGGCCGCAAGGCUAAAACUCGAAGGAAUUUGACGGGGGCCC
rnacentral:rRNA from 1 species